AGUACUCGAGUGGCGAACGGGUGAGUAACACGUGGGUAAUCUGCCCUGCACUCUGGGAUAAGCCUGGGAAACUGGGUCUAAUACUGGAUAUGACCUUUCUCCUUAUGGGGUUUGGUGGAAAGUUUUUCGGUGUAGGAUGAGCCCGCGGCCUAUCAGCUUGUUGGUGGGGUAGUGGCUUACCAAGGCUUUGACGGGUAGCCGGCCUGAGAGGGUGACCGGCCACAUUGGGACUGAGAUACGGCCCAG
rnacentral:rRNA from 1 species